UUAGUGAUACAGUGGAUACAGGUCAGCCGAAACGUGUAGACAAAAGGGAGUGUGAACAGCCAAUUUUUUUUUAAUCUCCGGAGGAGACACACUGGAAAGUAGGGCACGACUGCUCCCUUCGAGCUCCCUGGAUUGCCCAAUGUAUUUCCGCACCUUUUUGAACCAAGUCCAGAGGCAUCGCCAUGAUUUUUCGGAGAAAUGUACCUGUUACUGUAUUGGAUCAGAUUGUCGACCAAGAGGGGAGAAUGGGCUAUAUUUGGUUGUGCUCCCAGGUCCCAAAGAGUAUCAAAAGAGGGGAAGAAACUAUUACUAGCAAUCAGCUCCGCUGCAAAGAAAACAAUCUUGCAAAACUGGUCUUGCAAGGCCUGUGCUACCGAUACAAAGGUAUAUAUUUCUAGCAAAGUGGAACCGAAGAGCCGUAGUGGAAGGGGCAUCUCCCAGUUUAACUCUUGGUGGUGGCAAAUACAGUGUCGGCCGUAACCCAUGAAAGUCACU